UAUAUAUAUCGACUUUCACUAUAUAUAUAUCAACUUUCAUUAUAUAUAUAUCAAGUUUCAUUAUAUAUAUAUAUCAACUUUCAUUAUAUAUAUAUCAAGUUUCAUUAUAUAUAUAUCGACUUUCAUUAUAUAUAUAUAUCAACUUUCAUUAUAUAUAUAUCAAAUCUUUUUUUCCUACCGAGCCCCGGAAGGGACAUGUCCGUAUGGCGAAGCGACAACGAAGGACACUCACCCGGACGAGAAUUUUAUUGAGUUUUAUUUUAAAAUCGGCCUGAAACACACAGACAUUCAAGCAGUGCGAUGCGCUAAGAGUCUGCCAUGCAGACCAGCGAUCCUGAUAAUGUUGUCGGCCUUGGAUGAUGAGGUCCAGUUACCAGGAGCACUAGUCUGCAGCUUACUGGUUCCGUCUUGCAGCUCCUCCACGCUGUCCUCCUCUCUACAGACCAAAUCAAGAAAAGGGAACCAGGAAGCUGCUGUGGAUCCUCUGCAGUAUCUGGAGAGGUCAGAGGAACGGUUCUUGGAACAGAUCGGAAGACACCAAGACGUGACCUCUGCCAUGCUCCAGAACAUCCAGAAGAUGAAUGAAAACCUUGGUUGCACUGAUGGGACGCAUGGUGUCGGUGCUGGAGCAACUGUCCCAGAAUUAAACUGCAUUGUUGACUAUUGGCUUUUCUAGAAAAUAAAUCUUUUUUAGUACUUCA